rnacentral:rRNA from 1 species
AGAGUUUGAUCCUGGCUCAGGACGAACGCUGGCGGCACGCUUAACACAUGCAAGUCGAACGAGAGAAGAGGAGCUUGCUUUUCUGAUCUAGUGGCGGACGGGUGAGUAACACGUGAGCAAUCUGCCUUUCAGAGGGGGAUACCGAUUGGAAACGAUCGUUAAUACCGCAUAACAUAAUUGAACCGCAUGAUUUGAUUAUCAAAGAUUUAUCGCUGAAAGAUGAGCUCGCGUCUGAUUAGCUAGUUGGUAAGGUAACGGCUUACCAAGGCCACGAUCAGUAGCCGGACUGAGAGGUUGAUCGGCCACAUUGGGACUGAGACACGGCCCAGACUCCUACGGGAGGCAGCAGUGGGGAAUAAUGCACAAUGGAGGAAACUCUGAUGCAGCGAUGCCGCGUGAGGGAAGAAGGUUUUAGGAUUGUAAACCUCUGUCUUCAGGGACGAAAAAAGACGGUACCUGAGGAGGAAGCUCCGGCUAACUACGUGCCAGCAGCCGCGGUAACACGUAGGGAGCGAGCGUUGUCCGGAAUUACUGGGUGUAAAGGGAGCGUAGGCGGGAUCGCAAGUCAGAUGUGAAAACUAUGGGCUUAACCCAUAAACUGCAUUUGAAACUGUGGUUCUUGAGUGAAGUAGAGGUAAGCGGAAUUCCUAGUGUAGCGGUGAAAUGCGUAGAUAUUAGGAGGAACAUCAGUGGCGAAGGCGGCUUACUGGGCUUUAACUGACGCUGAGGCUCGAAAGCGUGGGGAGCAAACAGGAUUAGAUACCCUGGUAGUCCACGCCGUAAACGAUGAUUACUAGGUGUGGGGGGACUGACCCCUUCCGUGCCGCAGCAAACGCAAUAAGUAAUCCACCUGGGGAGUACGACCGCAAGGUUGAAACUCAAAGGAAUUGACGGGGGCCCGCACAAGCAGUGGAGUAUGUGGAUUAAUUCGAAGCAACGCGAAGAACCUUACCAGGUCUUGACAUCGUAUGCAUAGCUCAGAGAUGAGUGAAAUCUCUUCGGAGACAUAUAGACAGGUGGUGCAUGGUUGUCGUCAGCUCGUGUCGUGAGAUGUUGGGUUAAGUCCCGCAACGAGCGCAACCCUUACUGUUAGUUGCUACGCAAGAGCACUCUAGCAGGACUGCCGUUGACAAAACGGAGGAAGGUGGGGAUGACGUCAAAUCAUCAUGCCCCUUAUGACCUGGGCCUCACACGUACUACAAUGGCUGUCAACAGAGGGAAGCAAAGCCGCGAGGUGGUGCGAACCCCUAAAAGCAGUCUUAGUUCGGAUUGUAGGCUGCAACCCGCCUACAUGAAGUCGGAAUUGCUAGUAAUCGCAGAUCAGCAUGCUGCGGUGAAUACGUUCCCGGGCCUUGUACACACCGCCCGUCACGCCAUGGGAGUCGGUAACACCCGAAGCCUGUAGUCUAACCGCAAGGAGGACGCAGUCGAAGGUGGGAUUGGUGACUGGGGUGAGGUCGAAACAAGGUA